ACACUGUAAAAAAUUGCUGUAAAAAAACGGGGAAUUUUGGACAGUAAUUUACCGUUUCUCAUAAAUACAGUUGAAUACUGUAAAUAAACAUUAAUAUGACAAACAAAAUAAUAACAGCAAGCUCCUGUUCAGUCUUACGGGAUAAUACAGUAUUUUUUGGUUUGGUCAGGCAUGUCAGACAUGUGACGAGCUCAUCUGCAACCAUGAGUAAAACUGAUUUAACUACACUGUUUUUCUGCAUUUUAUUAUACGAGAAGGAAGCAGAAUUAAAGACUGUCUAUCCAUUUUCACUCCGAUUGUGACCCUACCAGCACUGAGACGGACGACGAAUUCACUUAUUUUUUACUCCUCGCCUGUAUAUCAAGUUGCUGGUGAUGAAGUCACAUUUGGAGGUUGGAUGAUCAGCAGUGAAAACAACAUCAUCUGUGAAGGCAAGAUGAAGCUGCGAGGACACUGGAGUUUGUUCAAAGAUGCUUAAUUGGUGUGAACCCUAAGAGGUGAACAAAAGCCAGGCAGGUGAAGGUGUCCGAGAAGACAGGAAAGCUUGUCCAGAAAAACGCAGCAACUGUUAAUCCCCAUGUGACCACCCUCAUCAAAAACUUCAUGGACUUUGAGUGGCUUUCACAUUGUAUUCUGCAGUGUUGUGAUAUUUAUGUGACAUCACAGCAUUAUGUUUUAUUCAGCCCAGUCUCAUUAGUGAGGCAGAAACUGACAUUUAAGAAUGCACUGAAUUUUGUUAUAUUUAAUAAAAACAGUGUUUUAUCAUCAUCCUUUGUUUGAGAAUUUUUUUGCAAGCAAUUUUAAGUGUUUAUUUUAAAAUUACAUUUUAACAAUGCUAGAAAAAUCACAUUCUACAGUAUAAAUAACAGCAGGAACCCUAAAAUAACAGUAUAAUGCAUCCAAACAUCUGACAGUAUUAUACUGUGCA